CAAACGCGAAAAAGUGUUAUGACAUGCAGUCUUUGAGAAGGAACGACUCUUUGAACGCACCUUGUACCCUCGGGCGUGCCCAAGGGUGUGCUUGUUUGAGCAUCGCAUAGACGUUGCACGUGCAAUUUGUGCACUGUGCAGAGAUGAGGCGCGCACUUUUACGAGUGCUCCCUUGAAAAGCAUGUGGAGUCGCGGCAAGCGAGCGCGCACACGCCAGGGAUAAUGCUCGUUGGCGGGUGUGCGUGGCGGCAAACCGAUGAUGAUCCACACAAUACUCAUUUGACCACGAUCUCAAAUCAAGCAAGAACACCCGCUGAACUUAA
rnacentral:misc_RNA from 1 species